UACGAAGGGGACUAGCGUUGUUCGGAAUUACUGGGCGUAAAGCGCACGUAGGCGGAUUUGUAAGUCAGGGGUGAAAUCCCGGGGCUCAACCUCGGAACUGCCUUUGAUACUGCAAAUCUCGAGUCCGAUAGAGGUGGGUGGAAUUCCUAGUGUAGAGGUGAAAUUCGUAGAUAUUAGGAAGAACACCGGUGGCGAAGGCGGCCCACUGGAUCGGUACUGACGCUGAGGCGCGAAAGCGUGGGGAGCAAACAGG
rnacentral:rRNA from 1 species